rnacentral:rRNA from 1 species
AAUGAACGUUGGCGGCGUGGAUUAGGCAUGCAAGUCGUACGCAUAGCUUCGGCUAUGAGUGGCGCAAAGGGUGAGUAAAUGCGAAGGUAACCAACCCUGGUAGUUGGGCAUAGCCGCGGGAAACUGCGGGUAAUUCCCAGCGACGUCACGAGAUGGCAUCAUCUUGUGACCAAAGGUGUGAUUCCGCUCUAGGACGGGCCUUCGUGGGUAUUAGGUAGUUGGUGAGGUAACGGCUCACCAAGCCGACGAUGCCUACCGGGUGUGAGAGCAUGACCCGGCACACUGGAACUGAGACACUGUCCAGACACCUACGGGUGGCUGCAGUCGAGAAUCUUACGGCAAUGGGCGAAAGCCUGACCGAGCGACGCC